UACAACUCCAAUCACCCUUAGCUAGCAAGGCCAGAGCUCAGGGAUGAUGGGAGUUGUAGUCCAACAACAUCUGGGGACCCACAGGUUGAGAACCGCUGCCUUAGGGGAUUUUAGGGCGUGAGGCUGGAGGUCAUCAGUAGAUGGAGCCAGAGACAAUGACGAGCAGAACCACCUAAUUCUCAUUUUGUCCCCAUACUCUUCCCUGCUGAGUUCUAUAAAGGUCAAACAGAGGCUAAGGAGAAGGAGGAAGCUGAAAGCCAAGCCACCCUCUGGAUUGUUUGUAAGUAAGAAGGCAGGCAAGGGAGAGGGCCUGAGGGUUGGUGGGGCAGUGCCCCAUUUGCCCUUCUGAACCUCCCUCCAUCAUGGCCACUUCUGGAAUGCAACCAGGCAUGCACAAUGCAUGAAUUAAGACCCUCCAAACUUGGUGUCUUCAAUGUCACUUACAAGGAGAUUCAUUCCACUUGCCACUUAUAUACUCCAGAAGAUUUAUCUGAGUAGAUCAUAUCCCAUAGCAAGCUCUAAAACAUCUUGAUGUCUUAUUAAUAAGUUAAUUGAAUUCCACAGUUACUCUCCUACAGCUAAUGUAUCUAUGCUUUGUCAUUGACUGAUAGGCAGCGAUGUCUAUGAAGAUACUUAAUAGCUGCUUUCAUGAACAAAUGAACACCUAGAGCUAAAUUAUAAUACAGCAAGUAUUAAUAAGGGACACUGAUAAGCUGGCAUUAGAAAAUUGCUAGUAACAGUAACUGACACAAGAUGGAUCCCACACUCCUGUCUAAGCUGACAGCAAAAGCCCUAAACUAAAUGUAGUAAAAAAAUAAUAAUUUAAAACCUUGUUUUGCUGUGGAGUUUUUUAGCCACAGGAAAGAACAGGCAGUCAAAAAUAAUGUGGGUUUUCUUUUACGGCGCUAUGAUGCACCAUCCUUUGACAAGCACCUAAAAAAUGAUGACCAGAAGCUGUUGUUUGCAUCUGCCUUAAUUUAAGCAGAAGUGGCUUUAUUACAUUAUAUGGAACGGCUAUAACUCUGUGGCAGAGCAUAUACUGUAUAUGUAGAAAGUUUUAGAGAUGGGUGAUUGUCCAUACACUUGUCCCAAACAUGCAUUGUUGACAUUUUCUUCUAGCGAUCACGGGAACUAGAAUUCAGUCUCCAUGAUUUCCAGCCAGAAAAGAGACUGACAGCAUCGCUCACCAAGGAGGCCACUUUACUACUAAUUACUUUACUACUACUACUACUACUCAUCAUCAUCAUCAUCAUCA